rnacentral:rRNA from 1 species
UACGAAGGGGGCUAGCGUUGCUCGGAAUUACUGGGCGUAAAGCGCACGUAGGCGGCUCUUUAAGUCGGGGGUGAAAUCCUGGAGCUCAACUCCAGAACUGCCUUCGAUACUGAAGAGCUCGAGUCCGGGAGAGGUGAGUGGAACUGCGAGUGUAGAGGUGAAAUUCGUAGAUAUUCGCAAGAACACCGGUGGCGAAGGCGGCUAUCUGGACCGUAACUGACGCUGAUGCACGAAAGCUAGGGGAGCAAACAGG